AGAGCGGCGGACGGGUGAGUAACGCGUGGGUAACCUGCCCUGUACACACGGAUAACAUACCGAAAGGUAUGCUAAUACGAGAUAAUAUGCUUUUAUCGCAUGGUAGAAGUAUCAAAGCUCCGGCGGUACAGGAUGGACCCGCGUCUGAUUAGCUAGUUGGUAAGGUAACGGCUUACCAAGGCGACGAUCAGUAGCCGACCUGAGAGGGUGAUCGGCCACAUUGGAACUGAGACACGGUCCAAACUCCUACGGGAGGCAGCAGUGGGGAAUAUUGCACAAUGGGCGAAAGCCUGAUGCAGCAACGCCGCGUGAGCGAUGAAGGCCUUCGGGUCGUAAAGCUCUGUCCUCAAGGAAGAUAAUGACGGUACUUGAGGAGGAAGCCCCGGCUAACUACGUGCCAGCAGCCGCGGUAAUACGUAGGGGGCUAGCGUUAUCCGGAAUUACUGGGCGUAAAGGGUGCGUAGGUGGUUUCUUAAGUCAGAGGUGAAAGGCUACGGCUCAACCGUAGUAAGCCUUUGAAACUGGGAAACUUGAGUGCAGGAGAGGAGAGUGGAAUUCCUAGUGUAGCGGUGAAAUGCGUAGAUAUU
rnacentral:rRNA from 1 species